ensembl:lncRNA
UGAUGAGUGUGUCUUCCUCCUCCUUCUUAUUUUAAGCUGGAGUCUUUGAAGGACCAAUUAUCAGGAAAGUACAAGAUUCACCUAAAGAGACAUUUGUGACAGUCUGUAAGUACUGAGAAGCUUGAUUUCUCUCGCAAGUAAAAAGAGCUACCUGAAAGGAGUGUGCAGCAAGGAGGAGAUUGGUCUCUUUUCUCAAGUGUGAUCGAAUGUGAGGAAAUGUUCCCAGGUUCCAUCAAGAGAUGUUUAUAUUGGAAAUUAAAAAGAAAUUUUUCAUGAAGAGGAUAGUCAAGAGUUGGAAAAGCCUGCCACAGGAAAUGGUGGAGUCUUCUUCAUCGGUGGUAUUUAAGAAAUAUGGACAUGGAACUAAGUGAUGUGGCUUACUGAUGGGACUUG